rnacentral:rRNA from 1 species
UACAGAGGUCCCAAGCGUUGUUCGGAUUCACUGGGCGUAAAGGGUGCGUAGGCGGUCGGGUCAGUCUGUCGUGAAAUCUCCGAGCUCAACUCGGAAACUGCGAUGGAUACUACUCGGCUAGAGGAAUGGAGGGGAGACUGGAAUUCUCGGUGUAGCAGUGAAAUGCGUAGAUAUCGAGAGGAACACCAGUGGCGAAGGCGAGUCUCUGGACAUUUCCUGACGCUGAGGCACGAAAGCCAGGGGAGCAAACGGG